GAAUCGUCGAUUGAAAAUCGUGAGGGUUCAAGUCCCUCUAUCCCCA
rnacentral:tRNA from 1 species